rnacentral:rRNA from 1 species
GAUGAACGCUAGCGGCAGGCCUAACACAUGCCAGUCGAGGGAGAAGCCCUUUCGGGGGCAGAAACCGGCGCACGGGUGCGUAACGCGUAUGCAACCUACCUUUCACAGGGGGAUAGCCCGAAGAAAUUUGGAUUAAUACCCCAUAAUAUUAUUGGAUGGCAUCAUUUGAUAAUUAAAACUGCGGUGGUGAAAGAUGGGCAUGCGUCCUAUUAGCUAGUUGGAGUGGUAACGGCACCCCAAGGCUACGAUAGGUAGGGGUCCUGAGAGGGAGAUCCCCCACACUGGUACUGAGACAGGGACCCGACUCCUACGGGAGGCAGCAGUGAGGAAUAUUGGUCAAUGGUCGGAAGACUGAACCAGCCAUGCCGCGUGCAGGAAGAAUGCCUUAUGGGUUGUAAACUGCUUUUAUAUGGGAAGAAUAAGGCGUACGUGUACGUUGAUGACGGUACCAUAUGAAUAAGCAUCGGCUAACUCCGUG